GCCGUACAUUGCAUGGAGGUACCCCAGCCUGAAGUCAGUAAAUGAGCUCAUCUACAAGCGAGGCUAUGGCAAAAUCAAUAAAAAGCGCAUUGCCUUGACAGAUAACUCCUUGAUUGCUCGAUCUCUUGGUAAAUUUGGCAUCAUCUGCAUGGAGGAUCUAAUUCAGGAGAUCUAUACAGCUGGGGAAUGGAAAGGAAGCAAAUAACUUCCCAUGGCCCUUCAAACUAUCUUCCCCACGAGGUGGAAUGAAGAACAAGACAACACACUUUGUAGAAGGUGGAGAUGCUGCCAUCAGGGAAGACCAGAUAGACAGGCUUGUUAGACGAUGAACUAAGGUGUCUCCCGUGGUAUUUUAUAAUCUGGUCAGUUAAUAAACAGUCACAGCUUGACAAAAA
rnacentral:lncRNA from 1 species